CUCAAGUCUGCGUUAGGGAUAGAAGCGGUAUCCUUUUUCUUGCUUCUUUAACAAGGAAAAGAUAUAGCGGAUAGCCUGUUCGUCG
rnacentral:sRNA from 1 species